rnacentral:rRNA from 1 species
UACGAAGGGGGCUAGCGUUGUUCGGAAUCACUGGGCGUAAAGCGCACGUAGGCGGAUUUUUAAGUCAGGGGUGAAAUCCCGGGGCUCAACCUCGGAACUGCCUUUGAUACUGGAGAUCUUUGAGUCCGGAAGAGGUGAGUGGAACUGCGAGUGUAGAGGUGAAAUUCGUAGAUAUUCGCAAGAACACCAGUGGCGAAGGCGGCUCACUGGCCCGGUACUGACGCUGAGGUGCGAAAGCGUGGGGGAGCAAACAGG